AGGGGCCUUUUCCCUCUCCCCAGGCUGUAGCACAGACUGCCAGACCCACUGCCUCAUAGACUGCAGGCAGGGAUAUUACUACACAGCUGGAAACUGCUUGGAAUGUCCAACAGGUUUCUAUUGCCCUGGGGGUCAAGCAGCUCCAAGGAAAUGCCCACUGGGAACAGCCAAUGUACUUACGGCUCAAACAGACAUCACUGCCUGCCAGGUUUGUCCCCGAGGCUACCUCAGCCUUGAGAGUGGAGCUGGGUGCCGUGCGUGUCCAGAGGGAUAUUCCUGCCAUCCCCAAAGCGGUGUGCAGAGGAGCUGUGCUCCUGGUCAGUACUCACCCGAGGGAGACUUGGAGUGCCAGGAAUGUCCAGAGACUUACAUCUGCCCGGAUGGACAGAGCAGACAGCAUUGCGGGGCUGGUGAGCAGCCGAAUCCAAGCCGCACUCAGUGUAUAACCUCCGCUCCCGGCCCUUUCCCAAGGGAAGACUCUCUGCUGUGCCAGCCCUGCCCAGCAGGUCACUUCUGUCCUGAUGGCCUUGCAGUCCCUCCAUGCCCAGCAGGGAGUUUCAAGCCCAAAGAGGAGCUUCACCCCCCCAGCAGCAGCAGCUCUUCAUGCUUGCCAGGUC